rnacentral:rRNA from 1 species
UACGAAGGGGGCUAGCGUUGCUCGGAAUUACUGGGCGUAAAGCGCACGUAGGCGGGUUUUUAAGUCAGAGGUGAAAUCCUGGAGCUCAACUCCAGAACUGCCUUUGAUACUGAAAGUCUUGAGUAUGGGAGAGGUGAGUGGAACUGCGAGUGUAGAGGUGAAAUUCGUAGAUAUUCGCAAGAACACCCGUGGCUAAGGCGGCUCUCUAGUACGGUACUGACGCUGAGACGCGAAAGCGUGGGGAGCGAACAGG